AACGCGAAGAACCUUACCAGGUCUUGACAUCCUCUGACAACCCUAGAGAUAGGGCUUCUCCUUCGGGAGCAGAGUGACAGGUGGUGCAUGGUUGUCGUCAGCUCGUGUCGUGAGAUGUUGGGUUAAGUCCCGCAACGAGCGCAACCCUUGAUCUUAGUUGCCAUCAUUAAGUUGGGCACUCUAAGGUGACUGCCGGUGACAAACCGGAGGAAGGUGGGGAUGACGUCAAAUCAUCAUGCCCCUUAUGACCUGGGCUACACACGUGCUACAAUGGACGGUACAAAGAGCUGCAAGACCGCGAGGUGGAGCUAAUCUCAUAAAACCGUUCUCAGUUCGGAUUGUAGGCUGCAACUCGCCUACAUGAAGCUGGAAUCGCUAGUAAUCGCGGAUCAGCAUGCCGCGGUGAAUACGUUCCCGGGCCUUGUACACACCG
rnacentral:rRNA from 2 species